AUUGAACGCUGGCGGCAGGCCUAACACAUGCAAGUCGAGCGUGCGGCGGACGGGUGAGUAAUGUAUGGGGCUCUGCCCGAUAGAGGGGGAUAACUACUGGAAACGGUGGCUAAUACCGCAUCCUCUCGUAUGCACCCAUAUGGGAUUAGCUAGUGGGUGGGGUAAAGGCUCACCUAGGCGACGAUCUCUAGCUGGUCUGAGAGGAGGAUCAGCAACAGUGGGACUGAGACACGGCCCAGACUCCUACGGGAGGCAGCAGUGGGGAAUAUUGCACAAUGGGCGCAAGCCUGAUGCAGCCAUGCCGCGUGUAUGAAGAAGGCCUUAGGGUUGUAAAGUACUUUCAGCGGGGAGGCGUUACCGACAGAAGAAGCACCGGCUAACUCCGUGCCAGCAGCCGCGGUAAUUC
rnacentral:rRNA from 1 species